CCUACGGGUGGCAGCAGUGAGGAAUAUUGGUCAAUGGCCGGAAGGCUGAACCAGCCAUGCCGCGUGAAGGUCAGUGCCCUAUGGGCGUUAAACUUCUUUUGUGCGGGAGCAAUAAUGGUCACGUGUGGCCAGACGAGAGUACCGUACGAAUAAGCAUCGGCUAACUACGUGCCAGCAGCCGCGGUAAUACGGGGGAUGCAAGCGUUAUCCGGAUUUAUUGGGGUUAAAGGGUGCGUAGGCUGUGAGGUAAGUCAGCGGUGAAAUGCCCCCUCUCAACGGGGUGAAGUGCCAUUGAUACUGCGUGGCUGGAAUGCGGAUGCUGUGGGAGGAAUGUGUGGUGGAGCGGUGAAAUGCAUAGAUAUCACACAGAACACCGAUUGCGAAGGCAUCUCACGAAUCCGCGAUUGACGCUGAGGCACGAAAGCGUGGGUAUCAAACAGGAUUAGAUACCCUAGUAGUC
rnacentral:rRNA from 1 species